rnacentral:rRNA from 1 species
CAGUUAACGAUGGAAGGCGUGCCGUAAUACAUGCACACUUGAGAAGUACGGACGGCGAACGCUUGAGUUAUCUUGAUGUUAGCGGCGGACGUGUGAGUAACAUGAGGAUAACAUACCUAUAAGACUUGGUAUAACUUCGUGAAGCAGGAGCUAAUACCGUAUAAUAUCAUGAGCCGCAUGGUUCAAAACUGAAAGUCGUUCUUCCUGUCACGAAUAGAUGGAUCCACGUUGCAUUAGCUAGUUGGUAAGGUAACGGCUCACCAAGGCAACGAUGCAUAGCUGAUCUGAGAGGAUGAUCAGCCACACUGGAACUGAGACACGGUCCAGACUCCUACGGGAGGCAGCAGUAGGGAAUAUUCCGCAAUGGGCGCAAGCCUGAUGCAGCCACGCCGCGUGAGUGAUGAAGGUCUUCGGAUCGUAAAACUCUGUUAUUAGGGAAGAAAUAUAUGUGUAAGUAUCCGUGCACAUCAUGACGGUACCUAAUCAGUAAGCCCCGGCUAACUUCGUGCCAGCAGCCGCGGUAAUACGUAGGUGGCAAGCGUUAUCCGGAAUUAUUGGGCGUAAAGCGCGCGUAGGCGGUUUUUUAAGUCUGAUGUGAAAGCCCACGGCUCAACCUGUGGAGGGUCAUUGGAAACUGGAAAACUAGAGUGCAGAAGAGGAAAGUGGAAUUCCAUGUGUAGCAGUGAAAUGCGCAGAGACAUGGAGGAACACCCAUGGCGAAGGCAACUUUCUGGUCCGUCACUGACGCUGAUGCGCGAAAGCGUGGGGAUCAAACAGGAUUAGAUACCCUGGUAGUCCACGCCGUAAACGAUGACGAGCUGAGAUGUUGGGUGCUUUCCGCGCACGUCUAGUAUCUGACAGCUAACGCAUUAAGUACUGCCGCCUUGGGAGUACGACUCGCAAGGAUUGAAACUCAAAGGAAUUGACGGGGGCCCGCACAAGCGGUGGAGCAUGUGGUUUAAUUCGAUGCAACGCGAAGAACCUUACCUGAUCUUGACAUCCUUUGAACUUUCCAGAGAUGGAUUGGUCCCCUUCGGGGGACAAAAUGACAGUGCUUGCAUGGUUGUCGUCAGCUCGUGUCUUGAGAUGUUGGGUUAAGUCCCGCAACGAGCGCCCCCUGUCCUUUAUUUGCCAUCAUUAAUGUGGGCAACUCUAGUUGACUGCCGGUGAACAACCGGAGGAAGGUGGGGAUGACGUCAAUCAUCAUGCCCCUUAUGAUUUGGGCUAACACUGCUACAAUGGACAAUAACAAAGGCCUGCAAACCGGCGAGGUCAAGCAAAUCCCCAUAAAAUUGUAUCUCAGUUCCGGAUUGUAAUCCUGCAACUCGACUACCAUGAAACUGGAAUCGCUAGUAAUCGUAGAUCAGCAUGCUACGCGUGAAUACGUUCCCGGGUCUUGUACACACCGCCCGUCACACCCA